rnacentral:rRNA from 1 species
UACGUAGGGUGCAAGCGUUAAUCGGAAUUACUGGGCGUAACGCGUGCGCAGGCGGCUUUGCAAGACAGAUGUGAAAUCCCCGGGCUUAACCUGGGAACUGCAUUUGUGACUGCAUGGCUGGAGUGCGGCAGAGGGGGAUGGAAUUCCGCGUGUAGCAGUGAAAUGCGUAGAUAUGCGGAGGAACACCGAUGGCGAAGGCAAUCCCCUGGGCCUGCACUGACGCUCAUGCACGAAAGCGUGGGGAGCAAACAGG